AUUUAUUCAACGAUUAAGUCGCAAGCAAUCGGUUGCCUAUUUCAUCGGUUAAAUGAUCGAUUGAUUGUUUAUUUGGUGCUUAUUUUGAUCAUCUGAUUAAUGAACAGGCGAAAUCGGAUCCCUGUGUUCACAAACAUUGAAUAAACAAAAUCGAGACACAUUACGGAACAUCCAGGAAGACCGGGAAAUCAAGAUUGCUAUCAGAAAUCCAGGUGAGUGAUCCUUGAUUUCAAUCUAGGAUACAAAUCACAAAAGCAUGAGGAUUACUACUCCUGGUCACGCCCAUCUUCGCGGUAACUUGGAAGGGGAAGGAAGUGUUGAUGUAGUACUUACUUAGUGAGAGCUUCCCGACUCAGCGACCCCGCAUAAGUACCACGGAGUUGGAUAUUGGGGAAGGUUUUCGUUGGGUCCAUGAUUUGCCUGUAGCUGAUAAUGUGACCAUGGUAGAUCUUACA